AUGCAUUGGAGAAGGAAAAGGCAACCCACUCCAGUGUUCUUGCCUGGAGAUCCCAGGGACAGCGGAGCCUAGUGGGCUACCAUCUCUGGGGUCACACUGAGUCAGACACGACUGAAACGACUUAGCAUAAUCAAAGAAAUAACCCUUGAACUAAGUUGUUAAUGUGCCAGUUUUAAAAUGAAGAACCUGAGGAUUAAGACCUUGCCUAAAAUCAUACAGCCAGUAGUAGAAAAUCCAGGAUGCAAAUUCAGGCAUAUCUAGCUUCCACAGUAUCUCUUUCAAGCAANNNNNNNNNNNNNNNNNNNNNNNNNNNNNNNNNNNNNNNNNNNNNNNNNNNNNNNNNNNNNNNNNNNNNNNNNNNNNNNNNNNNNNNNNNNNNNNNNNNCUGCCGUCUAUGGGGUUGCACAGAGUCAGACACGGCUGAAGUGACUUAGCUUAAAGCUAGUACACAUGCCUUAUAAUGCAUAAAUGGACCAGUCCCAAUAUUGAGAAAAUUUUAAAGGUUUUACAGAAAUCAAUAAAUAGUUAGUAAUUUCAAGGCAUCAUUGGAAACUAUUGUAUAUAUGUAGACUCCUUUUGAUUGAUUGUCGAAUCUUCACAGGGCUGAAGCGACUUAGCAGCAGCAGCAUUUACUUUAUCGUAAAAAUAGAUGACAUUGUCACAAGGAAAGAAAUCGGAAAGUUGUCACAUGUUGCCCAUACGUUUUUGUUUUGGAUUUUCUCCAAUUAUUACACAGAGUAAGUUCACGAAGCCAAUUAAUCCAAUUAAUUCUUUGGAUAAAAAUGUAUUCAGUUUUCUGCAUAAAGGGAGAUUUGAUCUUAUUACACAUGGUGCGUGAUGUGAGCUCCUUUAAAAUCUUUCCUCUGCCUCCCCUUUCAGCAGCAUGCUCCGAUAUGCAGGUUUGCCUGAGAGAAACCAGUGCUUAGGGCAACCUCAGCAAAAAAAAAAAAAAAAGUGCAAUUUAUGGACCUGCUGGAAAGAAAAUGUGUCAAAUAGCAAUCUGCAACCCCCAAGAAAUCCAGAGUGCCUUAUUUUUACCAAAGCCUUUUCAUUUCUGCUGUGUAAGGAGAAUGUGGAGGAAGGGUGAGAAUAGGAAAUAUGAAAAUAAGUAGCAAAGAAAAACAGUAUUUUAACUUGUGCUGCUAGACAAAAAGAGUGGCUAGUGGUGCCAGCAGUGAAAAAUCUAGAGGAUUAUGAACUUCACAAAGGUCUGAGCUAGAUAAGAGGUUAGUUAAAAGGCAGGAGGUGGGAGGAAAGAGGAAGUAACUCUGCUGUGUGUCUUCAUGUCAGCAGUGACCUCGGCAUAUUGAUUCAUAAUCCUCUUUAUUAUUUGCCAUGAUUUUGAACCACAGUCUGAUAGUACGAUUGGGAUUUUACCAAUAAGAAAGCUAUGAAUAAAAGUCAAGGAGUCAGUAACCUGAGCUGGUCCCACAGCAGUGUGGGAGAUGCAGUUGGAUUCCAGCUUGGUCCAGAAGCCUGUGAUCUUUCUGCCUUAUGACACUGCUUCUGAUUCUAAAUGAGGAACAUCCUAGUUUGGAUGCACGAUUUACCCUGGACUUUGGACUCAAUGAGUAACAGAAAGGAAUGUAAGAAAUGCACUGAUUAGUAUCCUAGUGUUCAUGUGUUUGACUUUUGUACUUUCUAAUCAAUGGCAAUUUGAGUGGCAGUAGAGUAUUGUAAUCUACCAUGCAAACGUAUAUUUGACUUACAUUUAUUGAGUGCUGAGUAUGUGCUGAGAAUCACAAUGGCAUAUUUUUCUCAUUUAAAAAAGUGGCUCAUUUCACAAGCCCAGUGACCAAGGCGGUGCCUCAUCAGCUUUUGACAACCAACCAAGGUUUAUGUCACGGGCCUGGGAGACAAUGGCAUCUUCAUGCCAAACGAGGAUCCCAGGUAUAAACGACAACAACUCACAUCACAGGUAGCACCGCGGUGGGCAGUGAGACUGGGGAAGGAUGUGGUGUGAAUACUGACAUCUAAUCAGGGCACGGAUGCUGGGUUUUUAUUCUGCUUUGAUUCCUGAUGAUUCUUCAGUGUUUAUAUUUACCAAACACAAACAGACCUC
rnacentral:lncRNA from 1 species